UUGAUUACGUCCCUGCCCUUUGUACACACCGCCCGUCGCUGCCUAGAACUGAGCCAUUUCGAGAAUAUUCGGGAUCACUGGUUUGGUCUUCACGGACCACUCCGGUUCGAGAACGAACGUAAUCGCAGUGGCUUGAACCGGGCAAAAGUCGUAACAAGGUAUCUGUAGGUGAACCUGCUGAUGGAUCAUUACCUUGUCUUUCGACAACAUUACUCAUAGCAAAAGAGACAGAGAGAAAUCGCAGCUCUGUCUUGGAUGAGUCUGAGAGAGCCCCGACUUUGGGCAGCUGGAGCCAGCAACUUUGUCCCCUUUCGGGUUCUGGUCAAUUCCAGUCUCUCAGGCGAAAACGGCUGACUGGUUCCUGGGUAACGCCGAGCAGCUGUUGCCGCAAUGUCCGUGGCUGCGUUGAAGCGUUACGAGAGUCCCUUGCUGUGGCCCACGGGUCGCGGAGGGAGGAGGAUCAAUGAGUACCAGCGUGGUGCCGCCAGUACCCUCUUUUUCAAUACAAUUUUUUUUAACAAAAAGAAUACGUUAGUCUUGCCGGUGGAUCACUCGGCUCGUAGGUCGAUGAAGAUCGCAGCCAAAUGCGAUAGUUAGUGCGAACUGCAGAUAGUGGAGCACUGAAGUAUCGAAUGCACAUUGCGCCUUGGAAUUCAUUCCUCGGUACGCCUGGUUCAGGGUCGUUUUUCCUUCCAAACAAAGCAUUGUUGUUGACCGCCGUGGAGUUGCUGUUUGCUCGGCCGUUUGGAGCAAACAAUCAAUUUCGCAUAUUGGCCAUGCCUCACUUUUGAAAUGCACUGCUGGAUGGUUUAGCACCAAACAGCCGUCUCAGUCUGUUCGUUUCAGUUGUGGGCAAUUUAUCCGUACAUUUCAUGCUUUGACCUGAACUCAGACGUGAACACCCGCUGAACUUAAGCAUAUCAGUAAGCGGAGGAAAAGAAACUAACAAGGAUUCCCUUAGUAACGGCGAGUGAAA
rnacentral:rRNA from 1 species